CCCGGGCCUUGUACACACCGCCCGUCAAGUCAUGAAAGUCGGUAACACCCGAAGCCAGUGGCCCAACCGUAAGGAGGGAGCUGUCGAAGGUGGGAUCGGUGAUUAGGACU
rnacentral:rRNA from 1 species